rnacentral:rRNA from 1 species
UACGUAGGGUGCAAGCGUUGUCCGGAAUUAUUGGGCGUAAAGAGCUCGUAGGCGGUUUGUCGCGUCUGCUGUGAAAAACUCGGGGCUUAACUCCGGGCCUGCAGUGGGUACGGGCAGACUAGAGUGCGGUAGGGGAGACUGGAAUUCCUGGUGUAGCGGUGAAAUGCGCAGAUAUCAGGAGGAACACCGGUGGCGAAGGCGGGUCUCUGGGCCGUAACUGACGCUGAGGAGCGAAAGCGUGGGGGAGCGAACAGG